rnacentral:rRNA from 1 species
GACGAACGCUGGCGGCGUGCUUAACACAUGCAAGUCGAGCGGAGCGGCGAACGGGUGAGUAACGCGUGAGUAACUGCCCCCCUCUCUGGGAUAACAGUUGGAAACGGCUGCUAAUACCGGAUAGUGGGGGAUGAAUCGCGUCCUAUCAGCUUGUUGGGGGGGUAGUGGCCUACCAAGGCGACGACGGGUAGCCGGCCUGAGAGGGCGACCGGCCACAUUGGGCUGAGAUAGGGACCAGACUCGUACGGGAGGCAGUGGUGGGGAAUAUUGCGCAAUGGGGGAGACCCUGAUGCAGCAGCGCGCGUGGGGAAUGACGGUCUUCGGGUGGUGAACCGCUUUCGGCCAUGACGCGGUAGUGGCAGAAGAAGCACCGGCUAACUACGUGCCAGCAGCCGCGGUAAUAC